AACGAGGCGAACCGGGGGAACUGAAACAUCUAAGUACCCCGAGGAAAAGAAAUCAACCGAGAUUCCCCCAGUAGCGGCGAGCGAACGGGGAGCAGCCCGGAGUCUGAAUCAGCUUGUGUGUUAGUGGAAGCGUCUGGAAAGUCGCAGGGUACAGGGUGAUACUCCCGUACACUAAAACACACAGGCUGUGAACUCGAAGAGUAGGGCGGGACACGUGGUAUCCUGUCUGAAUAUGGGGGGACCAUCCUCCAAGGCUAAAUACUCCUGACUGACCGAUAGUGAACCAGUACCGUGAGGGAAAGGCGAAAAGAACCCCGGCGAGGGGAGUGAAAAAGAACCUGAAACCGUGUACGUACAAGCAGUAGGAGCCCCACCACCAAAGCGUUUCGCUUUGCGUGGUGCGCAAAAUGCGUAACGACAGCAUGAUGGACGGUUAACGGAGCGUCAGCGACGUUCAACCUCAAAAAUCAGGCAGUGGAGCGUUUUGGGGUGGGGUGACUGCGUACCUUUUGUAUAAUGGGUCAGCGACUUAUAUUCUGUAGCAAGGUUAACCGUAUAGGGGAGCCGCAGGGAAACCGAGUCUUAACUGGGCGUUAAGUUGCAGGGUAUAGACCCGAAACCCGGUGAUCUAGCCAUGGGCAGGUUGAAGGUUGGGUAACACUAACUGGAGGACCGAACCGACUAAUGUUGAAAAAUUAGCGGAUGACUUGUGGCUGGGGGUGAAAGGCCAAUCAAACCGGGAGAUAGCUGGUUCUCCCCGAAAGCUAUUUAGGUAGCGCCUCGUGAAUUCAUCUUCGGGGGUAGAGCACUGUUUCGGCUAGGGGGUCAUCCCGACUUACCAACCCGAUGCAAACUACGAAUACCGAAGAAUGUUAUCACGGGAGACACACGGCGGGUGCUAACGUCCGUCGUGAAGAGGGAAACAACCCAGACCGCCAGCUAAGGUCCCAAAGUCAUGGUUAAGUGGGAAACGAUGUGGGAAGGCCCAGACAGCCAGGAUGUUGGCUUAGAAGCAGCCAUCAUUUAAAGAAAGCGUAAUAGCUCACUGGUCGAGUCGGCCUGCGCGGAAGAUGUAACGGGGCUAAACCAUGCACCGAAGCUGCGGCAGCGACACUAUGUGUUGUUGGGUAGGGGAGCGUUCUGUAAGCCGUUGAAGGUGGCCUGUGAGGGUUGCUGGAGGUAUCAGAAGUGCGAAUGCUGACAUAAGUAACGAUAAUGCGGGUGAAAAACCCGCACGCCGGAAGACCAAGGGUUCCUGUCCAACGUUAAUCGGGGCAGGGUGAGUCGACCCCUAAGGCGAGGCCGAAAGGCGUAGUCGAUGGGAAACAGGUUAAUAUUCCUGUACUUGGUGUUACUGCGAAGGGGGGACGGAGAAGGCUAUGUUGGCCGGGCGACGGUUGUCCCGGUUUAAGCAUGUAGGCGGAUGUUCCAGGUAAAUCCGGAACGUUACUAACGCUGAGGUGUGAUGACGAGGCACUACGGUGCUGAAGUGACAAAUGCCCUGCUUCCAGGAAAAGCCUCUAAGCAUCAGGUAACAUCAAAUCGUACCCCAAACCGACACAGGUGGUCAGGUAGAGAAUACCAAGGCGCUUGAGAGAACUCGGGUGAAGGAACUAGGCAAAAUGGUGCCGUAACUUCGGGAGAAGGCACGCUGAUGGUAAGUGAAGUGACUUGCUCAUGGAGCUGAAAUCAGUCGAAGAUACCAGCUGGCUGCAACUGUUUAUUAAAAACACAGCACUGUGCAAACACGAAAGUGGACGUAUACGGUGUGACGCCUGCCCGGUGCCGGAAGGUUAAUUGAUGGGGUUAUCCUCACGGAGAAGCUCUUGAUCGAAGCCCCGGUAAACGGCGGCCGUAACUAUAACGGUCCUAAGGUAGCGAAAUUCCUUGUCGGGUAAGUUCCGACCUGCACGAAUGGCGUAAUGAUGGCCAGGCUGUCUCCACCCGAGACUCAGUGAAAUUGAACUCGCUGUGAAGAUGCAGUGUACCCGCGGCAAGACGGAAAGACCCCGUGAACCUUUACUAUAGCUUGACACUGAACACUGGUCCUUGAUGUGUAGGAUAGGUGGGAGGCUUUGAAGUGUGGACGCCAGUCUGCAUGGAGCCGUCCUUGAAAUACCACCCUUUAAUGGCUGGUGUUCUAACGUGGGCCCGUGAUCCGGGUUGCGGACAGUGUCUGGUGGGUAGUUUGACUGGGGCGGUCUCCUCCUAAAGAGUAACGGAGGAGCACGAAGGUCAGCUAAUCCUGGUCGGACAUCAGGAGGUUAGUGCAAUGGCAUAAGCUGGCUUGACUGCGAGCGUGACGGCGCGAGCAGGUGCGAAAGCAGGUCAUAGUGAUCCGGUGGUUCUGAAUGGAAGGGCCAUCGCUCAACGGAUAAAAGGUACUCCGGGGAUAACAGGCUGAUACCGCCCAAGAGUUCAUAUCGACGGCGGUGUUUGGCACCUCGAUGUCGGCUCAUCACAUCCUGGGGCUGAAGUAGGUCCCAAGGGUAUGGCUGUUCGCCAUUUAAAGUGGUACGCGAGCUGGGUUUAGAACGUCGUGAGACAGUUCGGUCCCUAUCUGCCGUGGGCGCUGGAGAAUUGAGGGGGGCUGCUCCUAGUACGAGAGGACCGGAGUGGACGCAUCACUGGUGUUCGGGUUGUCAUGCCAAUGGCAUUGCCCGGUAGCUAAAUGCGGAAGAGAUAAGUGCUGAAAGCAUCUAAGCACGAAACUUGCCCCGAGAUGAGUUCUCCCUGACUCCUUGAGAGUCCUGAAGGAACGUUGAAGACGACGACGUUGAUAGGCCGGGUGUGUAAGCGCAGCGAUGCGUUGAGCUAACCGGUACUAAUGAACCGUGAGGCUUAACCUU
rnacentral:rRNA from 1 species